GGAUCCGUCCCCCCCUCCCCCCCCCUCCUCCCCGGUCUGUCGGUCUGCUGCGGUGUAGGUCUCGAGAAGAUACCGAAACGCACGAAAGAUUGUUGCCGCCGAAUCGAAAGUAUAUUUUGGGGAACGGGUCCGGCGCGGUCCGGAACAAAAGUGAAAAUAAACACACGCGACCGGGGAGGCGUGAAUUAUGACCGCGGACACGCACGUAAAAAACGCGACGGGUUCGCCUUUUCGUGGGACGAACACUCUGUCGCUAUAUUAUAUAAUAAUAAUAAUAAUAAUAAUAUUAUUAUUAUUGUAAUAUACGGGCACAGGCUCUGUGCGUACAGGGCGAUUCAUUUCUCGCGGUAUAACGUUAUUGUGUACGGGUAUUGGACGUCGGAAUAUCGCGUUUCGGCGACGUUGUUUAUUGCCGGUGCGAUUCCGGGGCUCGGGUCGAAAAGGGCCACGUUUCGGGAAAUCAAAAACACUACACAUUUUCGGGCCAUUUAGAUGUUGCAACAGUAAUUUGUCCAACAACACCGGUCUUCUCGAAUCUCGCAACAACGCGGUUAUUGAAAAGCGCAUUUUUACCACCGGAAAAAGCGUACGCAAUUGUAUAUGAUUGGCCACACGACUCAUUUUCACCGAAAUGUGACGUCGGCCCUUAUCGACCCGAGCCCCAGAAUUAUACCGUUCGACAAACUGUGCGCGCUUUUCGUCGACCCGGAACCGGUGAACGAUUAUUAUUGUUACGUUACACUCUGUAGAUUGUCCGUCGGUAAACAAAACGUUUCCGAGCAACCGUAUGGUAAUGCAAUAUAGGUGACAAUUUUCGAGAAAAAAAAUACUACGCGACGACGACGACGACGGAACGAGAUCGGGUUCACAAUCGCCGCUGUAGGUUCGCGAUAAAACGGCAACCGUCCUGUAUACGAGUGAGUAUGUGCGUACGUGUUCGAGCGCGCCUGUAUAUUAUGCGGCGAGCCUGCACAGGCGGCCGCGGGUGAGUACGAAUAGUUUGGCAGCUUUUCGCGCGAUAAAUCACGCGGCGUUGCAAAGUCGGUAUGCGGUUGCCGACGCCGUAGCCGCGCCGCGCUAUAUUAUCACCCGUGAUUAGAACAGGCCUACGGGCGAGAACUGUCGCCGUGGUCGGGCCGCCCGGUCUUGUUACGAAAGAGCACUCCGCCGCGUCUCCCUCCGGUGAAAAACGUACGACGGGCCGCCUACCCGGGACGCGAAUGAAUUAUCGAGAGCGGGAGAGAAAUGAUGGGGAAAAAAAAAAAAAAAAUCGGCGACGCGAUUGUAACGUAUAAAGGCGGUCUUUCACCCGGUGCAGCGCCGGUGCUACGCCGACAAUAAUAUUACGCGUGUCGGCUGUGCGCGCAAAUACACGACCACG